UCUGCCACCAUGAACGGAGACUCACAGUGGAGAAUCCACCACACCCACAAAAAUCUGACUUCUCUCCUCUCCUCUCAUCGUCUCUUUCCAUUCUUUUUGUUAGAUUGCGUUUUCUAUGUUUCCCACUUUAAUAUCAAUCCUUCCUGUCCUUUCUGUUAUUAGAAACCCCAACCAAGAUCUGCUCUUUCGUCACGGCCAAAUCAGGAUAUGAAGCAGCAGCACCAGUACUGAUCCAGAAUGGACUGAGGAAACCAUGGCGGACAUAAAAGGCGGUUUGGAUUCGGCUGAACCAUGUAUCGAAAGCAUUAUAAACAAAGACUCAGGUGCAGGUGCAAAUGCAGCUUCAAUGGCAGAGAUAGUACUUAUCACCAAUUCUCCACUCUCUGAGUUAAUUUGGACUCCGCAAGAAGGUUUAAGUCUUAAGUACACUGACUCCAGUAAAGCUGAAAAGAAAGCCUCCUUUUUGUGGAAAGCAGAAUCAUUCAACAUGAGAAUUUCUACUUCACUGUGUACAAAUCGUGGGGAGAGUAGCUCUAGCAGAGAUCAGAUUGCAGGAGAAUUGAGCACAGUACAGUCAAAUCAUAAUGCUGAUGGAAUUGCUUUCUUGGGCUCGCAUAAGGGAUCAGUUGAUCCGCAACCUAUCUCUCUGUCAAGUUUACAUGAGCAAGAUUCUCGAUCUUGUGGAGACAAGAAGCCAGAGAAAGGUAUGAAUGAUGCAGAUAUAAAUAUUAGUCAGUCGGUUAAAAAUGGUGAGGAUCCAUGCUCCCCUCGGAGCAAUGAGUGUUUGCAUGUCAUUUGUCCUGCCACAGAUGCAGAUAAUCUGCAGAAUGAAAAUUUCUCUCCAGGUCCCAGGCCUGAUCUAGCAGAAACUGAAGCUGGCUUUGGAAUUACUGCUGGAACCUCGAAUGUGCUUCUUGAUAUACCAAAAUUUCAAAAAUCUGGCUUGGUAGGAGUAUCAGAUUCUCAUGACUCAGUGUCAACAAGAAGUGGAAAGUCAAUAUCAAGUAACAGAUCAUCAGAAUCGUCAGAAUGCAAACAUCCUGAUUUAGUUUUCCGUGACACCCAAGAAGAUGAUAUCAGGAAAACUGACAAUCUAGUUUGCUUCCAGCUUCAUGGUAGUCAACAUUCCUAUGGUAGACAAUCUAAAAGUGUAGGGUGUCAGAGCAAGGAUGGUUUGGUUGUAGCAUCACUUUUUCAAGAGGCAAGUAAAGAUGAAAAACAAAAUAUUAAAAUGAAAAAUGAGACUAAUAAAUUUAGGUCUAAGUCAGAUGUUAAUCCUGGAAAAUUGGAGAAAGGUAAGGAAAAAAUCCUCUUUGAUGAUGAAGAUUAUGAUAGCAGUAUGAAAGAGAAAGAGGAUAGCAAUGAGAGUGUUGAAAGCAGUAACGGUCAGAGAUUAAUUUCAAAAGGGAAACGAGCAUUCAGUUUUGAUUCUAAGACCACCGAAGGAUGUAAAAGAAUUAAGAGAGACGGCAAUGAACACUCUUGCCCAGGAUCUCUCAUCAGAAAUGAUAGCUCCUUUAUUAAUUGGAUAUCAACCAUAACGAGCAGUUUCUCAAGAUACGAUCAGACCAGGACUUCCUUGGCACUUCUUCCACAAUCCUAUCAUAGCAUGAAAGAAAGCUUUGGUUCGCUUAGAAUAUCACAUGAGAAGAUUGGGGGAGUUAUGUGCAAAACUCCGGGUUUUAAUACUUUCUUCCAGGCGCUGUACUGUCCAAAUAUGAUAGCCCCAGAUACCACAAGUGAUGAUCAUCAAAGAGAAGGCGGUACUUCCAAAGAUGUAAAAGCCAUGGGGGAACAUUAUAAACAUUAUGCCAAUCAUGCUUUUGGUAACUUUUUGCAGUUCAACUUAAUGGAUCCUGCAAGAGGCAAGCAAACAUAUAAUGACUUAAAAGAACAUUUAACUAACAAACCAUUGUCUGCCAGUGGUCUUUGUGUUGUCUGUGGUGGAGGUAGUGGCAAAUCACACAGUCAAGUUUCUUCUUUGAAUGAGAGGCACAAUCAGGCCAGUUAUCAUGUUGAAAAUGCACCCCCAAUAAUGAUCAAUGUAUCUUCCUCCAACUCUCAAAUCCAUGAAGAGUUUGAGAAAAACAGGGGGCAGACAUGUGCUUUCAAUAGCAUGAACACUUCAAGUUCCUCAGCUAGGAAAGGUUUAAUAUGUGCUCAGGAGAAAGGAAAUGGAAAGCUUAGUUCUCAUCCAAAGAGCCCAGUAAGUAUGAUGUGCAGGGAGAAAAGCAAUUACCUUGAGAACUUAUGGAUUACUCGGUUUCUGCGGAAAGAGUCUUCACCACUUUUAAGAUCAGAAAAAUGCAAUUUGAGCAUAAAUGAUCAUGGUGCUUUCGACAAGGAGGAAAAGUUUCCUGAUAAGUGCGUCUCCUCUUACUUAAAAAAUCAAAGGGAGUCUGCUAGAGAAGUAAGCAAGCAUGCUGUCAAUCCUACUUUUUCCUGUGGUUUAAAGAGGCUAGACAAUCAAAUGCUAAACCCUAGAGUAAGCUCGAUUAUACCAUCUAAAAAUUUUAAGAACACAGAUAUGGCGGCUUCUUGCUCUGCAAAAAGAUUUGACAUGAAUCCAUCAAAAGUUUCACAUAACCGUAACUUGUCUUGUACUCCCAUAACCUGUUUAUUUUGUGGAAAAAAUGGUCACAGCUUAAGAGAAUGUUCAGAGCUAGCAGAUUUUGACCUCCAGGAUGUAAAGGACAUUUUGGAUUCGUAUGAUGGCAAACAUAUGUCUUCCCGGUUGUGCAUUCGGUGCUUUCAGGUUAAUCACUGGGCAAUUUCAUGCCCCCAUGCUUCCUUGGAAACAAAAAAUACCAGCAAUAGUUCUUUCAGUGUUGCACAUGAAAGUUGUAUUGUGAGAGAAGGAAAGCAUGAUAGCCGAGUAAAUUUGUGGUCUGGAGACAAAAAUAAGCAACAUGCUAACAAAAGUAAAUUACCAGAAAGAGAAGAUUCAAGAAUGGAUGCUCAAACUGUUAAUUAUAGAAGCAUUUGUGCAGACAGAGUUUUGUUCCCUACUGCAAAAGUUUUUAAGGGCUAUCGGGCAGAGGAUAUGGUGAACAUGGAUCAACAGGCUUCAUGUUCCUCAGAGAACAAGUCAAGGAAAAAUCAAAUUACACCAUUCUAUAAGAGCAUUGCUACAGAUGUCUCUAAUGAACAAAAUGGAAUUUUCAAAGCAAUAAGGAGGCUUCGAUUAUCUCGCACUGAUGUAAUAAGAUGGAUGAAAUCAGCAAAUCUCAGUUAUAGCCUGGAGGGUUUCUUCAUACGCCUAAGACUUGGGAAGUGGGAGAAAGGACUAGGGGGAACUGGGUACCAGGUGGCUCGCAUAAUUAGUGCUGGUCGUAAAAACUGCCUUUCUGUGAGCAUAGGACAUCUAGAAUGUUCGGUGGAAUGUUGUUUUGUGUCGAACCAUGAUUAUGUUGAGGAAGAAUUGAAGGCCUGGUUAUCUGCUACUUUAGAAGCUGAUGGCAAAAUGCCAUCAAUAGAGCAACUCAGUGAGAAACUUAAAGAAAGAGAGGAGCUUGGAUUCUAAGAAGAUGCUUCAAGGUUUCAAUCACGGUGCCAAUAGCAGCCUGAUGGUGCGAAGCUUAGCUACAUCAUAAAAACAUUUCCUAUGAGAUGCUUCAAGGAAAUCUGAAAGGAAGACAUCCAAGUAAAGCAAUAUAAAUGGAGACAUCCAUAUUAGUAGCUGCACUGGACCCAGCACAUUGCGUCCUUGAAGCGACUCCUUGCAGGCUCCAUGGAAGUUCCAUGACUGCCAAGGCAUCUCAUUCUUACAAACACUUGUGAGCAUUAACAACCACAGUACUCUGCUUAUAUGACACCAAACAUUGGUAGAACAUGUUGUCUUCACAAGUUAAUCUGUCUUUACGGUGAGAAAAAGUGCUCCAGUCAUCAAAAGGCUUGCAGAUGUGUAGCAUGCCCACCUUCUCUUUCAUCCCAAAAGGUGAAUCGAAGAUAAUGAUUGAUCACCCAUCAAAAACUGCUGACUGUUGAUAUGUACAAGAAGCAGCAGUAGGCUGCACUGGCUGUGAGGAGGAGAUUAGUAUCUAUGUUUGGGCAGAUUGGGUGUGAAGCUUGGUGUGGUUGUGCUCGCCUUCGUAGGUGACAAUAAGCAUGGAGGGGUCUUCCAAGCACCUCUCCACAUGCUUCUUUGCAGGGCAGCCUCUAAUGCUGCUGCACUUGUAAUACCCCCUGCAUUUGGGAUUUAUCACCUCUUUCUUAGUUGGUUUAAUGAUUGAUGCAGUAAGAACAUUCAACAAAAAUACAAAAAAUAAAGGAAUUGAGUAUUAAUCAUGAA